GUUUGGAUACUGUUAAUCUUUAUGUACAGUAAUUUUCUAUUAUUUUACUUUAUAUGUUUUAUAUUCAUUCUGUUUGGUAUGUGAGCUUUGCUUGUUGUUUGCAGGCUAUCAAAAAAUUGAUGUUAGCAAAUCUAACACAAAAGUGCUGAGUAUACAAUGAAGCUGAUGAGAGCAAUCCAGGAGAGUGUGGUUGUUAGGACUAAUGGAGAGUGAAUAUCCAGAUUUCAGCAUUGAAGAGAAGUUAAAUGCUUUUGUUGCGUUGAUUGAUCUAAUCAGAGUUGGUUCCAGUAUCAAAAUGGAGGGCUAAAGAUACAACCCAGAUUCAGAGUGGGCCCUUGAAUUUCUUGCCAAAACACUGCCAACGGGCUGUGGUGACAUUUGGCUCCAAAGGCUGCAGCGCAAAACACGGAAAAGA